GGGAAACAUGUACACCUGAUAUGCUUGAAGCCAUCAUUUCAAAAAAGUGGUUGCAUGGCGGUGUCAUCAAUAGUUAUUGCAACCAUAUGCAGACCCAUAAUCCUCGUGCUGACCGUCACAUAUUAUCAUCUUGGGUGUCCCACUGGCUUAUUCUUCGUGGUGAUGGAAAGGUUAACAACUCUAAGAGGCAUUUUAUGGAUCAUUUCACAAACCAAACUAAAAUGGUGUCUAGAGUUACUGAAGAGUAUUUCAUCAAAGAUAAGGCAUACUUUCCUUUUCAUGUGGACGAAAGUCAUUGGAUAACAGUUCUUAUGCACAACAAGAAAAAAGAGUUUCAAGUUUUAAA